rnacentral:rRNA from 1 species
UACGAAGGGGGCUAGCGUUGCUCGGAAUCACUGGGCGUAAAGGGUGCGUAGGCGGGUCUUUAAGUCAGGGGUGAAAUCCUGGAGCUCAACUCCAGAACUGCCUUUGAUACUGAAGAUCUUGAGUUCGGGAGAGGUGAGUGGAACUGCGAGUGUAGAGGUGAAAUUCGUAGAUAUUCGCAAGAACACCAGUGGUGAAGGCGGCUCACUGGUCCGGUACUGACGCUGAGGUGCGAAAGCGUGGGGAGCAAACAGG